UGCAUGUCUGAGUACAGACCGAUCUAAGGUGAAACCGCGAAUGGCUCAUUAAAUCAGUCGUAAUUUCUUGGAUAGUGAAAAACUUUCCUCGGAUAACUGUGGAAAAUCCAGAGCUAAUACGUGCAACUGAGCUCCGACCUCGGCGAGAGCCUUGGGAAGAGCGCAUUUAUUAGAUUCAAAACUGACCGGUGUACUCCUUCGGGAUACGCCGUUUGUCAAAUGUUUGAUGACUCCGGAUAACUUAGCCGAGCGCUACGGUCUCUGUGCCGGCGCCGUAUCUUUCAAGUGUCUGCCUUAUCAGCUUUCGAUUGUAGGUUAAACGCCUACAAUGGCUGUAACGGGUAACGGGGAAUCAGGGUUCGAUUCCGGAGAGGGAGCCUGAGAAACGGCUACCACAUCUAAGGAAGGCAGCAGGCACGCAAAUUACCCACUCCCAGCCCGGGGAGGUAGUGACGAAAAAUAACGAUGCGAGACUCUUCCGAGGCCUCGCAAUCGGAAUGAGUCCAUCCUAAAUCUUUGGACGAGGAUCCAUUGGAGGGCAAGUCUGGUGCCAGCAGCCGCGGUAAUUCCAGCUCCAAUAGCGUAUAUUAAAGUUGCUGCGGUUAAAAAGCUCGUAGUUGGACUUUCUAGAUCCAUUUCGUGGGUGAGUCGCUCGUCGCUCUGGAGUGUCGCGUCAGUCACUAGAUAACUUUGCGUUUCGGCGUAUGUUUACUAAGGCUAGCCGGGUCGGUGUGCGUUCGUGAUUAUUCUAUAAUAGCGCGGGCGUUGCAUCGGCUUUGUGCCUACCGAUAGGAGCAACGUGGGUUCGCGAUGACCAACCUUCUAGCGGACGGCGACUCUCUGUCUUCGAGUAUAGCUCGCCCGCGUUUGGUACAAUUAAAAUUUUGUCGGCUCGCUCGGAGUGCUCUUUACCGAGUGUUCCAGGGUGGCCGACACGUUCACUUUGAAAAAAUUAGAGUGCUUAAAGCGGGCUUUAACACGGCCGGAAUGUCUGUGCAUGGAAUGAAGUAACAGGACCUCGAUUCUGUUCUUUUUGUCGGUUUUAAUGAACCGAGGUAAUGAUUAAAAGGGACAGACGGUGGCAUUAGUAUUGCGGCGCUAGAGGUGAAAUUCUUGGACCGUCGCAAGACUAACUACUGCGAAAGCAUUUGCCGAGAAUGUUUUCAUUAAUCAAGAACGAAAGUUAGAGGAUCGAAGGCGAUCAGAUACCGCCCUAGUUCUAACCCUAAACUAUGCUAACUAGCGAUCCGCCGAAGUCAUUCCCACGACUCGGCGGGAAGCCCCAGGGAAACCAAAGUCUUUGAGUUCCGGGGGAAGUAUGGUUGCAAAGCUGAAACUUAAAGGAAUUGACGGAAGGGCACCACCAGGAGUGGAGCCUGCGGCUUAAUUUGACUCAACACGGGAAACCUCACCAGGCCCGGACAUCAUAAGGAUUGACAGAUUGAGAGCUCUUUCUCGAUUUGAUGGGUGGUGGUGCAUGGCCGUUCUUA
rnacentral:rRNA from 1 species